UUUUUAUACAACUGGUAGCGUUGGAUCCCUCGGCAUGGCUAUCGAUGAAGUGCGCGGCCAGCUGCGAAAUGUGAUGUGAAUUGCAACUCAAAGCGGUUAUCGUGAAUCAUUGACUACUUGAACGCAUUGCACCGCCCUUUUGGGAGUGGUACGCCCGAUU
rnacentral:rRNA from 1 species